rnacentral:rRNA from 1 species
UACGUAGGGCGCAAGCGUUAUCCGGAAUUAUUGGGCGUAAAGAGCUCGUAGGCGGUUUGUCGCGUCUGCCGUGAAAGUCCGGGGCUCAACUCCGGAUCUGCGGUGGGUACGGGCAGACUAGAGUGAUGUAGGGGAGACUGGAAUUCCUGGUGUAGCGGUGAAAUGCGCAGAUAUCAGGAGGAACACCGAUGGCGAAAGCGACCUUCUGGGACAGUCCUGACGCUGAGGUGCGAAAGCUCGGGGAGCAAACAGG